UAGCCAAGACACAAGACUCUGGCCUGGGAAGGUUCCAGGCGCUCACAGCGGAACCACGGAGGCGCCCCUUUUAUUCCCCCCAAAAAACCGCAGCACGAAAGGCGCGCUUCCGGAGCGAGUCCCUCUGCGUCCCCUCCAGGGACAGGGAUGCUCCGGCUUCCCACCCAGUCCCCGAACGCCGUCCUAGUCCGUGGGGCGCUCCGGGUCCAGCGAGCGGAAGGGGUUGAGCCGGUCGGAGGAGCGCAGGGAGGGGGUCGGAGGGUUGCGCUUCGCGAAGGGUCCGAAGUACUCGGCGGCGAAGGUGAUGGCGUCGGCCGGCUGGCGCAGGAGCAGGAAGAGCAGGAAGUCCGAGACGAGCGCCUGGGCCUCGGGGUGCUGCCGCAGGUUCUGAUCCCACACCGCGGGUGUUCCCGGCUCUCCUUCACUCUCCCACCAGCCAGAGGCUUCACUCACCCUUGUCCCUCAAGACAGGCAUCUUGGUGAUCAUGCAGCACCCUGGGGAGCCCAUCUGGAUUCUCUUGGCCAGGUGCCUGGAGUACAACACAGGCAUGAGAGUGCGUGUCCUUCCCGCUCCCUUGAGGGCCGUCUCAGGGGCCUCCCUCCGUUCCUCUCCAACACCUCUGCUCCAGGGUUCCAGGGUUGUGUUCAUUUCUAGAUCCCCAGGUAAUGGCCCCUGCUUUUACUGUUCAUGCCCUUUUUGUCCUGUGCUGGUGUGCCAGGUCUGGCAGGAGACCAUCAGCGCUGAAAAUGAUGAAUUUCCAGCUGUGUGAUGCUCAAAAUAGAAACAACAUGCUAACUUAUUAAAUAAGGAAAGCCAACAAUGCUCUGAUGACUUUUUUCCCCCAGUGUAACGGAGGAUGAUAUCAAUACCUCUUUGGAAACUUCAAGAAGUAAAUCUCAAACAAA